ensembl:lncRNA
CGCUGCUUUGUUCAGCAUUAUUCCCCACAAUGGCUAUAACACUUUGGAAGUAAUUUUAAAAAGGGAAUCAAAAUAGUGGUACUUUUAAGGCUUUUGUUUCUCUUCACACCCGCCCUGCAUUCUCUCUCUCCCUCUGUCUUUCUCUCUCUCUCUCUCUCUCUAUCUCCCCCAUUCUCAUGCGUCCCUCAUUCAGCCACCUCCAUUAUACGGACAAAUUAAAUAAAGCACUCCACUGCCUAAGAGGCUGCCGCGGGCUCGGGCCGCCCAGAGUCUGCAGACGAGCACACAGCCAGGCACAGGCACAGGGACGCGGGCAGGAGGCUCUGCCGCUGCCGCCUUGACGCCCCUCUUUCCACCUUUCCCUCCGUGGCUUUACCUCUUCUCUCUUUCUGGAGACCUCGUGUCUCCCCUUUCCUCCGCUCUUCGGCGACACGCGUCUCUCUCUGAGGCCGAAGGAGAAGAGGGGAGCCCAGCGGAGCCGCAGUAUCACCAUCAAAGCCUAAGUCAAUGAGGAGCGUUGGAGGGAGUCUGGAUGCUGGCCCAAGGAGUGAGAGCAUCUGUGCUGGACACAACCCCAAUACACUGGACCUGCUCAACCAUUACACAGAUUUGAGACCUUGCUGUUAAGAUGAAAGAUGUGUGUUCAUAUGCAUGUACAACAUGAUGUUUGGAGGGCUUGCUGUUCUUACUGAAUAUGUGCUGGCAAUACGUCUGGAGCACUGGGCACACGCUUAGUGUUACCGGUACAAGGACAGAGGACUGUGCUGUUUCAUGUUGUGGUUGUCGUCCUGGGUAUUAAAGUCUCAGCUAAUUCUGUCAUUUUGUCUGCGCUGUAUCCAAAGCAGUCAAUUUGCUAAGUGUAUGUAGGCCCGAGCAACAGCCCCAGUUCAGAAGUCACUCCUGGGCCCCAGGCCUCACAUGCAGUAACACCGCCCCCUCUGGACUGGAGCAUGGGACAGGUACAGACUUAUAACUAACUCUUAGACAUUACCAUACCUAUGGCCAAUCAACAAAACUGAUGACUUUUGAGGGCUGUCUUCAAAAAAUAUCCGUGAAAGGUACCUAAGUAAAGAUAAGCAGGUCUUUUAAAUGUUUGGAUAUUUUCUUAGAUGUUGAUGGACCAGUCCAAUUAUGUGUAAAUACAGGCUUUUUGCAGCUCUUUGAUUGCUAGCCAUACUCUUUUCUGCUAUGACAUAAUUUGCUUUGUUGUUUUCUUCAAUAGCGCUCCAAUGACAUCAUUGUGUUGAAACUGAACAAAAGGCAUUGGGAAAAAAAGAAUAUGAGAGGUUCAGGAACGACCAUUACAUGAAUUGGAAAUAUUAUCCAGAGCAGGGAAAAGCUAUGAAUGUCUUUCUCCUAAUAAGUGUUUGCAUUUGAUCUGUAAUGUGGUGAUUAACUGUGUUGACUCUAUAGAACCUGCUGUUGUUCCUGUUUAAAUGGACCGAUAGGCUGCCAAGAUAAUCUGUAAACAUUUUUGUUGAGUGGUGGCACUCUCCUCUAAUUAGUGUGCUGGAUGCAAGAUUAGGCCUUGUAAUUAAUUGAUUAGACGUCUUGGGGCAUGGGUAUAUCAGUUCAAUCUAGACACACUGGUAUACCGGUCGAGCACAUCCCAUCCGAAUAGAAAAUCCAAGAUCUUGACAACAAACUGGAAAGUAAGGACUGUGGUGCACCAGGUUUCACCCUAUCACUUUUUCAACUCUUUUCUUUCUUUCUGUCUGAAGUCAGGUGUUUGGUGUGGCAUAUGUCAGCGUCUUACCUGUCUAGGCAUCCCGGCGUCCCUGCUGUCCUGGGAGUCAGCCAAGCGAUGUCAAUUAGCCGUAAGCCAAUGCCAUGACGCGCUCGGGCUGUACCAGGGCUACUGUAUCAUGUUCUGGCUCCCGCAGAGCGGGGCGCAUCUGCGCGGCACCAGGACGAGCGACACCGUUUACAUGGCUUCAACAGGCUCAUGUUCGGGCGUCUUUCUGAUGCGCCAUGAUAAACCCACACACUACAUACAAGCCAGAAAGGCGAGCCAGAACCCCCAGCUCCAGUUGCUCUCCCGCUAACAUCCCCUCCACACGGUUCCCCUGAUAUCACUCUCUCGUUUUGUCUCCACCACUCUCACAACAAACUCUCUCUUUCGGCCAUUUAUACAAUGUUUUUUCUCUGUAGAUGUCUUUGUUACAUUUUUUUCUCAUAUUCUGAAGAUUUGCCAUUGAUCGUUAUGUAGUGAGAUAAUUGUGGCAACUUUUGAUCUUCUUUGAUUAUAAAACUUGUACUUUGAGAACAAAAAAUGGGAUCUUAAAUAUAUUCUCUAUAGAUGUUUCAGUAGAAUUUAUUCCAUGUUUUUCCAUGUGAAAACAAAUAAUAGUUUUACAUAUGUUUUUUUGUUUUUCAAAUGAAGCAGUUUCAUAAAGCAUUUUCAUAAGGCACAUUUAAUUUGGUUUUUAGGUUCAAGUUUUGGAACUGCAAUAAAUCUUUCCUAUCCUCUCUUUGGGAAACACCAUUCGUCUCUAUGGAGCAUCCGAGAUCCCUCUAUUAGUAAUCUGAUCUGCUCUACCAGUUUGGUGUGCAAAGGUGAGACAAUGUAGAGACAGAAGGCAAUGAAUAUGUCUUCAUCUGUAGACAUCUAAAAUGGGAAUCCAGCUGUUUGUUUGUUUAAAUUGUUGUACGCUGUCACACUGGUGCAUGUUUGUGUAUGUGUACAUUCUGUUGGAGUGACAUUGUGGGUCAGUCAGAACUCAGAAGGUUGUACCUUAAACACAAGCUGCCCUUGACCUCAUCGAGUGUUCAAUGGAGGCUUACCUCCAGGACAAUCAAAAGGUUGUGGGUGUGUGCCGUAUCCAUGCCGCGGGAGCACAAGAAAGAAAAUCUCUUAAUUCUGAGGUAUUGUUCCCUUAAUCCCCCUGUCCAUCACACAUCAGUAAGUGUUUCUUUUCUGGCCGUCCAUCAGGGAGUAAGGAGGCAACUUUCAUCUGGGAUC